AUUUAUAUAGUUUCAAAUAAAACAUUAUACUUUCAAUAUAAAAUUAUUAACUAUAUUAUGUUAAUUAUAAAUA
rnacentral:tRNA from 1 species